rnacentral:rRNA from 1 species
GUGGGGAAUCUUCCGCAAUGGACGAAAGUCUGACGGAGCAACGCCGCGUGAGUGAAGAAGGUUUUCGGAUCGUAAAGCUCUUUCGUUAGGGACGAACGUGCUCUUUGUGAAUAAUGAGGAGUAAUGACGGUACCUAAAUAAGAAGCCACGGCUAACUACGUGCCAGCAGCCGCGGUAAUACGUAGGUGGCAAGCGUUGUCCGGAAUUAUUGGGCGUAAAGAGCGCGCAGGCGGGAUAUCAAGUCUGUCUUAAAAGUGCGAGGCUCAACCUCGUGAGGGGACAGAAACUGGUAUUCUUGAGUGUCGGAGAGGAAAGUGGAAUUCCAAGUGUAGCGGUGAAAUGCGUAGAGAUUUGGAAGAACACCAGUGGCGAAGGCGACUUUCUGGACGAUGUCUGACGCUGAGGCGCGAAAGCUAGGGGAGCGAACGGGAUUAGAAACCCGUGUAGUCC